CUUCGAUGAACGUUGAGCACAACCUUGUGAAUAUGUCCGUUUCAAAAUUACAUCGACUCGAAAAAGAAAAAAUGCAUGUGCAAGCAUGUAUAACUCCUUAUCAUUUCGAUUACAACAGUCAAUCUCUAUCAGCAGAACAGUUGGAAGAUCUCCGUCGCCAUAUUAACUUAAUAAAGAAGGUUCUUCAAUUAAUGCGCAAGGUAAAUUUGGAAUUGGAAAAAUCUCAAAGACAGAUGGAAAACCAGCUUGAAAUUUAUAAAAAUAGAAAACUUCCCUAAUGUUAUAAUUGUCAAAGCAAGUCAGCUUAAACGAUCUCUUAGUGAGGACAGCGUUUAUGUCUUUAGCUUUAUUUUAAAGUUGAUAAUAUAGUGAAUUAGGUGGAAAGAAUUCAAUAAAUAUUAUUUUCAAACUUCGUAUGAACUUCAAAAUCAGCCGAAGUAUAUAUCAUAUAGUUCCAUGAUGAGAAAAAUGAAAAUUGAUCGAAGCUAAAUUAGUCUUGUAUGGAAAAUUUUAUGGAAUUUCAUUUACGAUGUGCUUUUUCAAAAUUAUAAGAUGCGGUAAAGCUACGGACGUACCUACCUUUGCAUUUUUUCUAAGAGUACAAGUCAACAUUAUUUCUGCUUAUUCUCUUAGUUCUGACAGUAGACAUUAAGUUGUUUAUUAUUAAUGCAAGUGUGAGCAACUAAUUGACUGGAAGUAACAAAAUGUUGAUUUGUUCAUUUUUUUUUAGUGUAGAAUUAAAAAUAUUUACGUUGCACGAUACAUGGUAGAGAAUUGAAUUUUUUGCAAGUUUAUGUGAAUUCUAGAUUUAAGUUUCUUAUUUUUUUGCUUGUGACAUAAUUAUGUUUUAUUUGUAUUUUAUAUAAGUAGUCGUCAAAAUCUUUGCUAUUAUUGAAUAAAAAAAAUAGCAUAUUUACACUAAAAACAGGAUUUAUAUAUAGUUGAUACGUAUGUUUAUAGUUAUAAUUCUAUAUUUACUAUUAGUAAAUCUUAGUUUAAUUAAACAUGAAUUUUUUAGUAUACUAAAAAUAGAAAAGAGAUUGAUUAAUCAGUAAUUAGUGUUAUUUAAUUUCAUACAGCAUUUUUCCAAUGUAGAUGCAUGUUCUAUUAUGAAUGUAGUUCUCAUCAAUUUAUUUUCUUUGUAGAGUUAAGUUUAUCGCGCUGGGAAUUGCAAUUAGAUAUAUUCCAAAUGGUCUCAUUUUUUAAAAACAAUCUAGAUAGGUAAUUAAAAUAAGAUUGUAUAUUAUGUAGUUUGUAUUUUUGCUUGGUAGUAGCUUUCGUAGAUGUAACAAAUAAAGUUAAGGCUUGGGUCA
rnacentral:lncRNA from 1 species